rnacentral:rRNA from 1 species
AAAAAAAUUCCACUCCCACCCCACCAAACUCUCUCUCCAACCUCACCCGCCGCUCCUUCUUCCUCCUCUCUCGAUCCCCUCCAACCCAGCCGCCGACACCGCCGACCUCCCCCAAUCCCGGCCGCCACUCCACCACCGGUGACCCCUCCCUGGCCGCAGAUCCACUCGCGGAGCAGCUCACCCCGCGGUCAGAUCUGACCGCCCUCCCUCCCUACCUACCUCCUUGCCGGAAACCCUAGCCGCCCGUCCAUGGCGACCCAUUGCAGCACUCCAAGACCUCCUCCACGGUGGUAUGGUAGGAGGAACGGCGACCAGCGACGGCACGAAGCCCGGCCAUGGUGACCCUCCAAGACCUCGACGACGGUGCUAUGGUGACUGAUGUAGGAUGAACAGCGCCAAGGAACGGGACGACACCGAUGCCAAAGGAAGCUCUGGCAGAGGAGAGCAGCCUCCUUCUCCUCCAUCUCUCUGCUUGCUCGGUUCUGGUUCUAGCCUGAUUUAAAAAAACGUUUUUUGCUUUCUCCCUUUCCGAUUCAGACUUGAGCACGAGCGGAUUCACUAGUUGGAGCUAUAUAUGGUGGUUGUUAUGUUAAUCAAAUCAUUAGGCGUUCCCCAUCCAUACCAUACAAUUGAUUGGUUUACUGCUUGCUUGGUUGUCAAGUGAGGUGUUUGUUUACUCUGCUUGAUUGAUUCCAUUGGAGGAGGGAGUAAUUUGCCUAGCUUAGCUGAACUCUACAUACCAGGCUAGUUCAACUUUGGUUCCAAUUCGUCAUCAAAUUUGCUCCUGUAUAUAUAUAAUGCUUGUGUACUAGGCUAGAAAGUUAGAAUGGUUCAUGAUUGGAUAAAAGAAAAGUAGAUCUGUUUGAUGCUUUUGUAGUCCUCGUCGCAGGCUGGGGUGGUCGUGUAUCGCCAACUCCGUAUAGUUGUUUGGCCUCUGUUUCAGGCUUGAAUGGGGGCAGUACAACCCACCCUGCCCCGCUAAUCGCUUGGAAAUGGACGCAACAUCUGCUAUUCUGUGCGAGGUUGCCAGGCUUAGGUCGAUUUUUGUAUGUACAAUUGACAAGCAAAGGUGCUAGUACUUGUUUACUACAACAACACAAUUAAUUAACCAACAUACAUGCAUACUUGGCUUGAGAAAAUAUGGAUGCGUGUGGAAACAUGCGGAAGAGAAACUAAAUGUAGCCAUUAGCUAUGUUGCUAGGUGCCAAACAGAAGAAAUGACUAUUUUAGAUGUUUGGAGCUGGGGUAUCUUACUUAGCACCAUGUGUAAUUGUUUUACAGCACUGACUUAAUCAUGUUUGCUGCUACUGCUACGACAUAUGGAGAAUAAUUUAGGCACCAUAAGCGUAAUAUCAUUAUAAACUUCUGAGAUGCGUGAUCUUUAGUACUGUAGUACUUGCUCGUAUCAGAUCAUCAAAUGCGCGAUCUUUUGUUCAAAGACGGUUCUCAUCGCAGGAAUCAAUGGGUGCUGGUUGUUGUUAUAGUACUAGUCUUAAUGCUGCAAGGGGAACUAUUUUUACAUUCUAUCACAGUAAUCACACACUAGUACAUAGGGAUCUAUUAGCUUAGCAAAACUGGCAUUUUGGAUGAGUAUUAAACAACAAAAUGUCCCUUCAUCUGUCGCUGCUUACUUGUCUAAGCCUUACAAUAUUAUUCCAUCUAAUUGUUGUGUGUUAUUAUCUUGAAUACAUUUCUCUUUUAAUUUAUUUUCAAUCUUCCAAGCCUGGACAUAGUUAUUGUAUCUCAUUAUCAUCUUGAAAAUGUCACCACAACUUGUUUUAUUCUCUAUGCACCGUGUUUGCUGGAGACUAACAUUCUCUUAUUUGACCAUGUAGUGAUUACCUCUUCAAGCUAUUGCUUAUUGGAGACUCAGGUGUUGGCAGGUCAUGUCUUCUGUUAAGAUUUGCAGGUGAUCGACGAGGUCUACUGUGGCCCGAUGGGAGUCGUGCUCUUCAACUACUCGGAGGCAGACUUCACCGUGAAGCCCCGCGACCGUGUCAUAGAGAUUAUCGUCCAGGUGAUUGUGACGCAGGAGGUCCCCGGGGUGGAGGACCUCGACGCCACCGUCCGGAGGUCACCGAGGUGUUGGACGACACCACCGUCCGGAGUUCCUCAAGGUGGAGGACCUCGAUUCUUUGUACGUACAUCUAGAGAAGUGGUCUGGUUAGGUUGGUGGUGAAAUGCUAGGGAAGGUACCAACCUUUUGAUGAUGGUUGUGUGUGUCCUCGUGAUCUCUUCGAAUUGAGAUGUUGAAUGUUGC